rfam:Candidatus Accumulibacter sp. 66-26 scnpilot_expt_750_p_scaffold_104, whole genome shotgun sequence.
CGGGGCGUAGCGCAGCCUGGUAGCGCACUUGCAUGGGGUGCAAGGGGUCGCGAGUUCGAAUCCCGCCGCCCCGA